AACAUCCUGGCAGCGACGAAAUUUACAAGUUGGAAUACAAGUAUUUCGUGUUCUGCUUCUUUGAUUCCGGACGUAAAACUUGGGACAAGUAUGGAGGACAAUAUACGUGACCUUGACAUGAGUACAUUGCUUGAUGAUGAGAAAAUCAAUGAACGGACGGAGAAAUUGAAAAGAUAGAAACAUCAUUUCGAAGUCGAUCCAGGAUAAUAAUAGACAACUGCUGGUGCUGGAAGUUGCCAAUGUGCAGCAUGUAGUUCGAUCAGUUGUAAAAGGGUCUUUCUGACUGACGGUAAUAUCGUAUCUUCCGCGAGAAAGGCAUCUCUUAAACUUCCAAGUAAUUGCUGCAAUUGGACUGGUAAUUCAGCAUCCAAGUCUUUGCCGAUACAUGUUAAGAUGAAAAACAAGCAGUCAGUCUUUAACACAUGAAAAAACACAUGAAAAAUUAUUUAUUUAUCAUAUAUGGAUAUCAAAUAAUGAAUAAAUUUUUGUAUUAUUUUAA